rnacentral:rRNA from 1 species
AAGUGGCGAACGGGUGAGUAAUACGUGGGUAACCUGCCUCUGAGUUGGGGAUAACCCGCCGAAAGGCGGGCUAAUACCGAAUAAGACCAAGGGAUCAAAGAUGGCCUAUGACCCGCAAGGGUUAUGCUGUCGCUUGGAGAGGGGCUCACUUCCCAUCAGCUAGUUGGUAGGGUAAUGGCCUACCAAGGCAAUGACGGGUAGCUGGUCUGAGAGGACGACCAGCCACACUGGCACUGAGACACGGCCCAGACUCCUACGGGAGGCAGCAGUGGGGAAUCUUGCGCAAUGGGCGAAAGCCUGACGCAGCAACGCCGCGUGCGGGAUGAAGGCCCUCGGGUUGUAAACCGCUUUCAGCAGGAACGAAAAUGACGGUACCUGCAGAAGAAGGUCCGGCCAACUACGUGCCAGCAGCCGCGGUAACACGUAGGGACCAAGCGUUGUCCGGAUUUAUUGGGCGUAAAGCGCUCGUAGGCGGUUCGGUAAGUCGGGUGUGAAACCUCUGGGCUCAACCCAGAGACGCCACCCGAUACUGCCGUGACUUGAGUUCGGUAGGGGAGCGGGGAAUUCCUGGUGUAGCGGUGAAAUGCGCAGAUAUCAGGAGGAACACCGGUGGCGAAGGCGCCGCUCUGGGCCGAUAC